CUCAGUAGUUGUGGCACACGCACUUAGUUGCUCUGCAGCGUGUGGGAUCUUCCUGGACCAGGGCUUGAACCCGUGUCCCCUGCAUUGGCAGGCAGAUUCUUAACCACUGCACCACAAAAGGGAAGUCCCUUUUGUCUUUUUCAUCUAGCCA